UACGUAGGGUCCGAGCGUUAAUCGGAAUUACUGGGCGUAAAGCGUGCGCAGGUGGUUUUGUAAGCCAGAUGUGAAAUCCCCGGGCUUAACCUGGGAAUGGCAUUUGGGACUGCAAGGCUUGAGUGCGGCAGAGGAGACUGGAAUUCCUGGUGUAGCAGUGAAAUGCGUAGAUAUCAGGAGGAACACCGAUGGCGAAGGCAGGUCUCUGGGCUGACACUGACGCUCAUGCACGAAAGCGUGGGGAGCAAACAGG
rnacentral:rRNA from 1 species